UGCUAAUUCAGUGCCCUUAUUUAGAGAAUGUAUAUGCAUCAGGUUGUCAAGAAUUGUUAAUAGAGGUUAUUCAAAACCAGGUCAACAAUGAUUCUUUUCCCGUGGAAAACCAUUUGCCCUUUAAACGUCUGGCUGAUGGUUCCAAGAGAGUUCGAGUUCCCCAUUUUCUGUGCCAACAGGUGAAGUCCCUCACCUACAUAUCUUCUAGUGGUUGUAACCUAAAUGUCAAUGCCGUUUCUUAGAUACAGCUCCUUUUCUCUUUCAUGUGAGCAAAUGGAAAAUGAAUUGACAACAGCAAGUCUGAUUAUUGAUUAGAUAACAAGCAAAUAGAUGGACAAUAGCAUUAAUGUCACGAGAGUAUCUUGAAACAUUGUAUUUGCAUUCUAUUACUGGUGAUGAAAUAGAAUAGGGAAUCAUAUCAUAA